UUUCAAUAUUUCAAUAUUUCCUAAAAAUAACGAAUUUUGUUGUAGAUUCUGAGCGGAGUGAGGAAUAUAUUGGUUUUACAAUGAUGAUUAUAUUUUAUUUAUUUUUAUGUAAACAAUUUCUACCAGAAGGCUUAUUUCGAUUAUCAAGUAUAGCGCAUUUUCCGAAAGGAAAUGUUGUCUGGGUAAUACUUUAAAGAGGUCAUUUUUUGAAAUUAUCAUUAAUAUUCGAGAAAAUCAGGAAAAUCUCGGUCUUAAGGUUAAAAAAGAUUGAAAGAUUAAAAAUAAGGUUAUCAUUGGCAACCGUUUUUGUUUAUUUUUUGCUAUUAUUAAAUUUUUAUUAUUUUAAAAAAUAAUUGUUGUUAUGGAAAGUUCUCAUUGGAAAUGCACUUUAUUGCAAUCAUUUUACUAUAAUAUGACAUAUAUAUUGUUGAUAAAGCUACUCUGCCAAUUGAACUUCGCUCGGAAUCGUUUUCGUUAGCAAUGGUUUAUCGUUGUUUACAAAUAUACAUUAAAUGCCCGUCUGCAUCAUACCUUCCCAACUUCCCACUUACAACAGUGACUGCACCCACGUGCGAAGUAUGUCCAUACUAUUUUUUUGAAUACUCUGUUCAGGAGAGAUGAGAUAUUAAAUAGGAUAAAUUUAUAUGCCUAUUUUUAACUAACUGAUUUAAUAAUAAGACUUGGUUGUUUUAGCGAAAUUAUCCGGUGUACGCUGUUGCAUACUAUACUGGAUAAACGCAAAUAUAUAAUUGAUUGUAAUUUCCGAGUACAGACUAUACGCAGUUAAAAAAUGUAAUAGGUAAGUACGAUUUUAAACUACGAGAAACCCUUUAAAAGACAAUGUUCACACCAACUGUAUAUAAUAACGUUAUUGUAAAAAAAUAAUCUAUUUGGUUUCUAAUAAUGUAUUUGACUAUAAUAUCGAAAUAAAUUAAACCAGACAAAUUUGUAUUUUUUUUUUGCACCACAUAAAUUGUAGGGCUUUGUGUAAAAUAUGUACACGGCUUCAUUUUUCAAACCCCUUGAGAGAAAACAAAAUGUUUUAAGGAUAUU